UAUGGAAAGGGUUAGUAUUACCCUUUCCAUACAAAUGUAGCAUGUAGCA
rnacentral:ncRNA from 12 species